AUUUUUUUUUGACUUUUUUUGAUCAGACAUUAUUAGGGUUUCGUUUUCCAUUAUUACUUUCCUUUUCUCUUUGUUUUUAGUUUAGGGUUUUGUUCGUUUUCUCUUUGAUUUUGCGUUUAGGGUUUUGUUUUUCUUUCAAUGCAGGUAUGUGGUGUUCAUCACGAUUUUGAAAUUGGGGGUGACUCACUCCUACUUCAACCAAUAAUUAUCUUGAGUUAAGUUCUUGUUCUGAUUUGGUUAUUAUACAAAAUUUUAUUCUAUCAACAUAGCUUUCAGUUUUAUUCUGAUUUGGUUAUGUAUUGUUAAAUCAUUGUUCUGAUUUGGUUCGCCAUAUAGAUAACAUCAUAGCUUUCAAUUCAAUUAUGUGAUAGAUAUCAAAUUCACCAUAUACAUAACAUUAUAGCUUUCAAUUCAAUUCUGUGAUAGAUAAAACAUCAAAUAAAUACAUUGCCAAAUUGUGUUUCUAUCUCAUUCAUAUAUACACUUUUCACCCAUUUUCCCACUAAAAGGGAAAAGGAAAAUACUUACAACAUGCCCAUAUUCUACAAAAUGUCAAUACUAAUCUAUGUCACUGUCUUGCAGUUCAGUAUCAUAGACCAUUGAAGCCAGAAAUUAUAUGCAAAAACACAUCUUCUGUGCAAGGAAUUGUGAGACCGCCCAUUGGAUGAUGAUAUCCAUAUUCUUCCCCUGCUUGACUCAGCAACUCUUGAAAUGAAGCUUGGUUCAAGUAUGACAUGGGGAUCACAAACCGCUUCAUUUCUUCUCCCACGUACACUGCAAGACAUCCCUUUGGCUACUUUUGAUGAUGUUUGGCUGCUACGUCUAAUAGCUGCAGGACGGGGUCCAUAAGAUGAGGGAUCACCACAUGGUAUUGUCUUGGACGGUUCAAGGCCCCACCUUCUGAAUGAAAGGCCACUAGAUAGACAGCCCAAUUCAAAGUCAAAUGAGGUGGCUAGUUGAGGCGAAUUCAAAGUAAAGGGAUGCCGUUGCCAUUAGCUGCCUGCUAUAGGAUAACAACUGUGACCUCAAUCCAUAUGAAGAGUGCGGGUAGUUCAUGUGAUAAUGGUCACCACCGCCUUCUUCAAUUGUCGCUUUAGUGGAGGGACUGGUUCACUAGUAGCAACUAUCUAUUUGUGAAGAAAAUUUGAGAUGUUUUAACAUGUAGGCAUGUCUGAAACACAAGAAUCAUGUGAUUGCAACGUUUUAAAAAUGAGUUGUUCAAGCAAGAAGUUGUAUGUAAGAAGACAUCUUCCUUGCACGGAAUUGUAAGACCGCCCAUUGGAUGACAGUAACCGAAUUCCUCUUCAGCUUGGUUAAGCAAUUCUUGAAAUAAAGGCUCGUUCAAGAAUGAUAUUGGAAUCAAAAACCUCCUUGCUUUCUCUCCAACAUACACCGCAAGAUAGCCUUUUGGGACUUCCACUUGUUUGCCAGAUGAUGAUCGUCUAAUACCAGGUCACCUUACUCAGGGCUAGGGUUCUUAGGGCUCACGAGACCAUUGCUUAUCUUACUGAUUCCUCCAUCUCGUGUGAUAUUACGAUGAGAAUGGCUUAGGCAAAGGACAAUAGUCUUUGGCGGAUUGGCAAAGGUGACAAGAUGGAUUGUUCCUCAUACUAUCAAGCAGGCUUACCCCGAUAUCACCCAUAUUUUGCAUGAUGCUAUCAUUCUUCAAUUUGAGAUCAAGAUCAUUUCAUAUGGAAGCGUUCCACCAAUGGAACUCCUACUUUUAGGUAUGCAUAUCAUUUGUGUUUCCCUCCCCCUCAAGAGCUUUCUCGGGCCAAGCUUAUUUGGCAUAAUUAUAUUCCUCCUUCAAUGUCUACUCAAUUUUGGAGGAUUGUUCAUCACAAAAUAUUUACUGAUGAAAACCUGAUCAGCAAAGGUCUUUGUGUGGUUUUUCAAACUAUCAUACUGUUGAUGCUUUGUGUGGUUUUUCAAACUAUCAUACUGUGUGCUUUUAAGUUCUUCGUUUAAAAUUGAUAAGCAGACAUAAGUAGGCAAGAUAUCAUGGCCUAAUAUGGAUGAGUUCCUACCUUUAAACAAUUGUGAAGAUUAUUUGACCCUCUUUAAACAAUUGUGAAGAUUAUUUGACCCUUUUUUUUUGGUUUAGGUUUGACUCUUAGCUAACAUUCACUUUUAUGAAUAAUUGAGGCUGCUAGGAAUUCAAAGUAAAUGGUUUCUGUCGCCGUUUAUGGCGUGUUAUAGUACAGCAACUUUGACAUCAAUCCAUAUGAAGAGCACGUGUAGUUCAUAUGGUUAUGGUCACCACCACCUUUUUCAAUUAUUGGUAUAUUAUUCCUGUCUUCAUUUCAUUUCAAUGCUACUGACUUGCUUCAAAAUUCUAUCAUGUGUAAAACAAGUCGAAAUUUUUUAUAGGUUAGUGUUUUUCUUUAAAGAUUUAUUUCUUUUGAGUUUUGUUGUAAGGCCUCUGAAUAUAUCCAAGGUAAAGAGUGCUUGGCUUGUGUUUGUGCCUGCAAAGCAAGUAUUUAAGAUGAUACAAGAACAGCAGUUACAUAAAAAAUAACAGAAAUUCUUGACGUAUAUAAGUUUUCUCAACUCUUCAAUCCUAUUGGGCUAUGUUAUCAUUCAUAUGACUUUUUUUUAGUAUGAACUAAUAAUAGGUCGUACAAGUGAGAAGCUAUAAGAACACAUCUUCCAUUCGGGGAGUUGAAAGACCACCUAUUGAAUGACAGUAUCCGAAUUCCUCUUCAACUAGACUUAGAAAUUCUUGAAAUCAAGUACCUCUUCAUUUACGCUCCAACAUACGCCGUAGGAUAGCCUUUUGGUACUUCCACUUAUUUGAUUUAGUUGCACUAAAUGAUGAUCGUAUACCAGGUAAGCGAACUGCUUCUUCAUCUAGAUAGAGCACUCAACUGAACAUAAGUUGCAGGAGAGUUAAAUGUUGUUUUGUCUGUUAGUUGGCUUCAGAAUAUAACUUCAAAGGUCCCGAGAAGUUGUCUGAUCUCAACAACUCUGUUUCAGUCGAUGAUUCAGCAAAACUGUGAAUUAUUUGUAGUUUUUCCUUGAUCUAAAUUAACUCAAAUACCAUUGAAAAUUCAGAAUCACCAGUUUGAUGGACAUUAGAUAUCAAUAAGUGAUGUGGAUGCAAAUAAGUAAUUGUUUUCUUCUGUUCUGGUAUCUAUAUUGACUUGAAAUUCAUGUUUAACUGCUAUCUUAUUUGUAUGUAUGUGGCUGAUUAUUUGAUAAGUUUAGCUUCUGAUUUAGACUUUAAUUAACUAUAUCUCUAGUAUUAAUUAAUAUUAGUUUGAUUAGAUGAAUUCACAAAAAACAACAGAUGAACACAAACAACAGACGAACACAAGAAUAUAGUUUGAUUAGAUUCUCAUUUCAGAUUUCCACUUAAGAGGAAACAUCAAAAUUGACAGGAAUUCCGGAUGUACAAAAAGGGUCUCAACUAGUCUACUACACUAUCCUAUGUUAACAUUCAUAUGAAUUUUUUGCUGUAUGAAUUAA